UGGGGAAUAUUGCACAAUGGGCGAAAGCCUGAUGCAGCGACGCCGCGUGCGGGAUGAAGGCCUUCGGGUUGUAAACCGCUUUUAAUUGGGAGCAAGCGAGAGUGAGUGUACCUUUUGAAUAAGCACCGGCUAACUACGUGCCAGCAGCCGCGGUAAUACGUAGGGUGCAAGCGUUAUCCGGAAUUAUUGGGCGUAAAGAGCUCGUAGGCGGUUUGUCACGCCUGGUGUGAAAGUCCAUCGCUUAACGGUGGAUCUGCGCCGGGUACGGGCAGGCUAGAGUGCAGUAGGGGGAGAUUGGAAUU
rnacentral:rRNA from 1 species